CCAUUUCAAACAGUUGACAAGAAGAUGUGAGUAUCAGCAGGGGGAAAUUAGUUUUUGUAGUGACAGACACCUUGGAAUGCAAUCCACAAAAGCCAGCAUGCGAGACAAGGAGCUGCCUACAGUAGCUAAUGGGGACAUGCUGACAAGAUGGGUGUAUCCUAAACCCCUCCCCUCUCAUGGAGUUAGAUGCCUAAUUCCAGGCUGUAGCGAAGCCUAUCUGUGCUGGCAAUUCCUAACCAGGAACCCCUCUCCUGAAGUCAGUGGAGUAAAGCCCAGAAACUUCAAAUGGGAUCAGGACUAGAACAUGGAAUAUUCUCUCAAGCAAAUUGGUGCAAGUCUUGUUGCUUGGGACAUUUAAAAGAGUACUGGACAAAACGCAGGAGAACACGGUGAAGAGAACAAACUGCAGCGACCCAGUCUGUCAUGGGAUCAAGGUCUUUAGACACAACACAAUCCCAAGCCAGGCUGAAGCACAGACAGAUCAUUCAGGAAAGGGGCUUCAUGACAGAGUUCUGACUUGGAAUGCCACUCCAGCUCAUGCACAAGCAGCAAAGAUUUCCAUCUUUGUACUGUCUUCAGAUGGCUGCACCCUUCGCAGAAUACCUUGUGCAUCUAGAAUGCUGCCAUGGGCCUUUGAAGUCCUGCAGACACUGCCACAAAGUCAGAUGUCCUGCAGUCUAAUUAAUUUGAAGUUGACAUUUUAUUUACAGUUACGCAGUGUAGAGUUGCUUUUAUCUGCUCUGUACAAGUAACUUGUCAGUCACUUACAUAAAUCCUUUCUUCACA